UAAAAUAGGUGUAACAAUAUGGCUUAGAGCUAGGUACAAUUGUGGACCCUGUAGGGCACAGCAAAAUAAAAUUAAAAUUAAACUUACAACUAACAUAAUAAUUAAUAAAUCUAUAGAGAGAAAAAAAAUAUAUUUAAAAAUCCAACAAUUGACCUUAUUAUUAAACAUAAAAAAAAAAUUGUGUAGGAACAAGCAUAAGACUAGACAACUAAACUAUAAAACUAUAGGCUAUAAACAAUUAAGUAACAGGUAUUCACUAAAAAUACUAAACAACAAAAUACUGCAAGAUCGGAAAGUGUGAUGUGUUAUGUACUGUGUUGUGUGUAGACAAUAUUGUUAUCGUUCAUGUAUUCGUUUAUUGAGUAGUAGGCUUUGUUAGUAAGGAUGUUUUUGAGUGCGCGUAUGAAUUUAUUUUGGCUUGUUUCAUUUUUUAAAGAUUCUGGUAAUUUAUUGUAUAUUUUGAUAGACAUUACAUAAGGGCUAUUGGUGUGAAGUGUCAUGUGUGAAGAGGGAAGCAUUAACAUGUUUUUGUGUCUGACUGGACGAUCGUUGUGUUUAUUUCCGCGGGUUAUGAAAAAGUUUAUAUUAUUUCUUACAAAUUUACAUAUUUCCAGGAUAUAAAUAGAUGGUAGUGUUAAUAUUCGAUACUUAAUAUAAAUAGGUUUACAACUGUCGGUUUGCUCUAUAUUUUCUAUUAUUCGGAUUAAUUUCUUUUGGAGGAUGAAAAGGGUAUUGGCGUCGGUACUGUUUCCCCACAUAAUAAUGCCGUAGCUGAGCCAUGAGUAUGCGUAGGCGUAGUAUGUGGUGAUAGCAGGGGUGCGAUUCACUAAGGCAAAACAUCUUUACAACCAAGACAUCAUCGUUGUAACAUCAGAUGUAAAGUCGGCGGUAUUCAUUAGUUACAAUUGCGCGAUCGUGGCGCCUCAACGAUGUUGACGGCGUGACAUAGAACUAACAUUUGGUGCCAAAUGUAUGAAAAUCGGUAUUCAGCAACACGAAACAUCCUCGCCUGCAACGACAACCUCGCCUUCGCCCUCGAUUUUAUCUGUCAAACCGAAAAGCUUGUAAAUUGUGGAUGUUUUCUUGGAUGAAGGCGAUUAAAAUAUGGCAGUUCGUCUUUCCUGUAUGAUUUUUUGUUGGAAGAAACUAAACAUCAAGAUAAUUAAAUAAAUAAAAAGUCAGGCCUCCGUGAUACGUAAUAUGGAUUUACUAACUACUGAUAGAAACUAUAUUAUGGUUGACUGAAGAACAGAUUAGACAGUUGAAAGAAGAUUUCUCCUUUCCUAACAAAGGCGAAUCGUUAAGGAGGAAUUAGCAACCACACCAAUAUAUUACACUUAAACAAUACAAUAUAAAUCAUCAUACAGUACAGUGGAUAGGUGCCUAAAACUUACUGUCCAUCAACCUUUUGUAUGUAGGUACCUACUGUCCAUUUUUUGGUUAGUGGGAUUUAUGUACCAAAUAAUGCUAUGUGACAUUGCAAGAACAAUGGUCUCACGGGCAUCUGCCUCAAGGACUCAACAAUAUACAGUAGAUGCCAUCAACCAUCCAGAUAUUAUUGAUAAGUACAAGGUAAGAAGCAACUGUGACCCGGUUAACAAGCAAGCCGGACUCUAGCAGUGACUUGGACAGUGGACGUCAUGCUAGAAGUUAUUUAAAAAACAAUAAUAUGUGUGACACCUACUAACAAUACAUAUGUAUUUUACCUGUUACUGUUACAGCCUUUUUUAUUAACAUCCCACUGCUGGACACAGGCCUCCUCUCACAUGGAGAAGGUGAGCACCACGCUUGCUCAAUGCGGGUUGGUGAUUUCAGACUAUAUAGUCCAGGUUUCCUCAAGAUGUUCCCUUCACCUUUUUAUCAGCCAGUGGCGUCCAAGAUAUACUUAGAAAGUACAUAAAAACUUAGAAAAGUUGCAUUAUUUUACCUGUGUAUGUUAAAUAGUAUUUUAACAUUACACAAUAGUGUGCAGGUAUCGAAGUAAUUUUUAUAAAAAUACUUAACUUUUCUGUAAUCAUUAAUUAAUCAAACAAUAUUUUAAUUCAA